GGAGGAGGGGAGGGAGGGAUGGAUAGGAGUGUGUGUGUGUGUUGGGGGGGGGGGCUGCACCCCGUUGUCGUGGAUACGCCUGGCUGCUGCCCCCGGGGCCGGGAUUUGGGGGCGGGGCCGUGCGGUCUCUUUGAUCUGGCGGCGGCUCCCUUUGUAUGCCCGUAUAAGGCACGUCCUCAUUCCACACCGAGUGCGUGCACGCGUCUGGUUCCGGGAGCAGACCACGGCUCGCACCUCCCUCGCCUCUCUUCUCCUGCCUCCUCCUCCUCCUGCAUCCUCCUACUUGCAGGGGCGAUGCCUCCUUUGCCUGGCGGUAACAACUCUGUCAAAUCGCCGUGACAUGGGUCAAGUUCAAGGCGUUCAUCUCGGCGGUGCCGGCAGCGGUGGCGGAUGCGCUUCUCCCUCCCGUGUGCGCCUCGGUUGAGACUUUAGACUCAACCUUCACAUCUUUCCCCAAGGUGCCGCGAGUCGGAAUGACAAGAACGCCGUCCGCCUGACGAGGACGUCACCCAACUGUCAGAGAGGCACGGACCCGCAAGGACACGAGACCCACCAAUGGCUCGGUCCAAAGAUCGAGUGCCCACCGUGUCCCGUUAGCUUCGCAAAUGCCUUCCACGUGCGUCUCCGGUUGUGUAUUUCAUAAUGCGCAACGUUGUCUGCCGUCCGGCACCAAAUGUUGCAUUGUUGCAGUGUGCGAGCUUGUGUGUGUGUGUGCGUAUCAACGCAGUACACGUUACGUGUGCAGCGUGCGUACACGGUGUGUGCAUUAAGUAUUGCACCGUCAUCGGUAGCGAAAGAUAUAGAGUAAAUUCCGUGCAAUUGUGUGUUAAUUUAGCGCAAGGCGAAAGUUAAAAUGCACGGCCUCAAUGUGGCAGGCAAAAUUAUACAAUGGCAUGUGUGUGUGUAUAUAUACACAUGCAAUUGGCCUAUAGGUAGGUAUACAUAUGCUCGGAUCGUUUUAAAAUGAAGGCAUUUUACGGCGAUGUACAAAGGUAAAAAUUAAGUCGCAUAUUAAAGGCUAUAUAAAAUGACGGCAUCGAUUUAAUGAACACGAGGAAACAAUUCUAAAAUGUAAUGUAAAUUAAAUUAUUCUGGCAUCCACGCCGAUUGCAAAUAGGCCAUCGUGCCCAGUACCGCACGCAAACACCUCGCUGAAAACACCCCUCCUGCCCUUUAUCACGUACACGCGCAUACUGUAGCCACAUUCAUGCUCUACAUUGCUAAAAGCGCUUGUGUCUAUGCGUACAUGCUUUGAUGACAAACACUGGCCCAUGUACGCACGUGACUGAAAGCACUUGUCUAACUGCCGCGUGCUAAAUCAGCGCGUCGUUUGUCCCGCGAUCGCACGUGCGCUGCUCUGUAACAAUUGAACAGUGAGUCAUUAGGCGAUUUAGAAAGCCGGCGGUGUGUUCUUGUGCAUUUGUCAAACAAUUCUAAUUUGUCCUGGGGGUGGUGGGGCUGCGAAAGCCGAAAUGCGCGCGCGUCGCAAGAUGGGGAAAUUACGCCUCGGUGUCGUUUUGUGACGCCCACAAUUUGCGUGAAUUAUUUUCGCUGCACGUGGCGACGAUUUAUUUAACAAACACUGCCAUUGUCCGAUUGUUUUUAUUUCACAAGAAACCCACCGAGACUUCGAGUCUCGUACAGGGACUGACAAUAUAAUGCGAGCCCUAUACGAUGUGCAGUUGCAGCGUAAGACAAUAUGUUGUGCAGGUCAGAUAAAUAACACAUUUAAGUUGUAACUCCUGGUUAUGUUAACGCGGUGAACAACACUCUGUAGAGUUUAUGGGACCGUUUUCAUUACACUUGUACGUUUAAGUCGCGCAUUUAAUUCACAUAUGGUCAUACAUGCAUGUACCUUACUACGCAUUGUAAAAUAUUUGCAGUACUGUAUGUCUUAUUUGUUUUUGCACAUGUUCAGUGUGCGCGAACGUAUUUUUUGUGAAUUUUCGAGCACGUGCAUUAAUAAGGCAGCAACAAUCGCAAUCAACAGCGGGAAGAGAAUCAAUAAAGGACGAUUGCAAUGAA